rnacentral:misc_RNA from 1 species
UUGCUCUUGCGACGCGCUCUGGACCUUCGCGGCCGUAAAAUCCGGCGCUCACCGAAUCGCUCGCUCGGCGGUUUGCGUGUUGCGCCCGGUGGCCCCGUGGUCUUAAGCACAAGCCGCGCCGUUGUCCGUGUUCGUCUCGGGACGUCCGCGACGCCGCCUUGCUCUCGGCGGCGGCCAAAUUUCCUCUCCGUCACCGCUAUGCGGGACCCGGCUCGCUCUCGCUAACGGGCCCGCUUAUAACCAGCUUCAGGGUGACGGGCGGAGGAGAGAAGCUUACGCUGACGCUCGAUCGACGAGUCGGCGCCCGUACGAAAAAAAUUGGAAAAAAAAUAACCGUGCGUUGCGCGUUAUUUUUUUUUUUCCUUUCUUUCCAACCUCAAACCGAACAAAAUUCCCCCCGGAAUUUAACCAUAAAAA